rfam:Devosia psychrophila strain Cr7-05 contig43, whole genome shotgun sequence.
GCGGGAGUAGCUCAGUUGGUUAGAGCGCCGGCCUGUCACGCCGGAGGUCGCGGGUUCGAGUCCCGUCUCUCGCG